AUAUUGUGGCUGUAUCUUUGACACAUUUGUGCUUGUACACGUGAAAUUUUGGCACGUCGACGAUCUUCCUACCCUACAUUCAAGGCUGGCAUAAUGGUAGUUGUGAAAUUUUGGAUCCUUCUUGCUGUAACAGUGUUUGUGGCAACUAUCAUCACUGCGAGAAACGUUCCUGCGGUUGAAACCGCUACCGAAUGGCCCUCAUUGAUAAAAAGGGAAGCACUUGCCGUAUCAAGCAACCGAACUGAACUUCAAAAGAAG